UACGGAGGGUGCAAGCGUUAUCCGGAUUCACUGGGUUUAAAGGGUGCGUAGGUGGGUUGGUAAGUCAGUGGUGAAAUCUCCAGGCUUAACUUGGGAACUGCCAUUGAUACUAUCAAUCUUGAAUACCGUGGAGGUCAGCGGAAUAUGUCAUGUAGCGGUGAAAUGCUUAGAUAUGACAUAGAACACCAAUUGCGAAGGCAGCUGGCUACACGAAUAUUGACACUGAUGCACGAAAGCGUGGGGAUCAAACAGG
rnacentral:rRNA from 1 species